GGAAGAGUCGCAUAGCGGCCCAGUGCGUGCGCCUGGAAAGCGCAUGAGCGCAAGCUCACGUGGGUUCGAAUCCCACCUCUUCCG
rnacentral:tRNA from 2 species